AUUGAACGCUGGCGGCAUGCCUUACACAUGCAAGUCGAACGGUAACGGGCCUUCGGGUGCCGACGAGUGGCGAACGGGUGAGUAAUGUAUCGGAACGUACCUUUCAGUGGGGGAUAACGUAGCGAAAGUUACGCUAAUACCGCAUAUUCUGUGAGCAGGAAAGCAGGGGAUCGCAAGACCUUGCGCUGAUUGAGCGGCCGAUAUCAGAUUAGCUAGUUGGUGAGGUAAAGGCUCACCAAGGCGACGAUCUGUAGCGGGUCUGAGAGGAUGAUCCGCCACACUGGAAAUGGGACACGAUCCGGAGUCCUACGGGAGGCAGCAGUGGGGAAUUUUGGACAAUGGGGGCAACCCUGAUCCAGCCAUGCCGCGUGAGUGAAGAAGGCCUUCGGGUUGUAAAGCUCUUUCGGCCGGGAAGAAAUCGUAUCAACUAAUACCUGGUGCGGAUGACGGUACCGGCAUAAGAAGCACCGGCUAACUACGUGCCAGCCGCCGCUGUAACAC
rnacentral:rRNA from 1 species